GCUGAACUCACCUUCUCUCCCGAGCACCAGAUCCUGAGCGAACAACUUCCCGCAGAAGAGCCUUCUCUAGUGUCCCCCGCCGUCUCACCAGAGUAGGGAUGCUCUUCCGCUUCUCCUUAGUGCUGCCUCCAAACCAAUGCACCAUCACCAACCAAGUCUCCUCUCGGAAGAACGCGUUUGUGAAGAAGACAUUCUAUCUGGAUGAAGCAACUACAGAAGUGCAGAUUGACCGCCUCCCUUCAGUUAUGCAGAAAUCUCUGCACUGGCUGGAAGAGCACUGUCAAAUGUUGUAAGCAUUCUAAAGUUCACCUUUGUGGGUCAGAAACACAUCACCCCUCACCCUUCUACCUCCAACAGAAUUCCCUUUAUGAAUGUGAUAGAAUGGAGGGGAAAGAAUGCAAGUCUUGCUAAGUGGAC
rnacentral:sRNA from 1 species